GAUGAACGCUGGCGGCGUGCCUAAUACAUGCAAGUCGAGCGAAUGGAUUGAGAGCUUGCUCUUAUGAAGUUAGCGGCGGACGGGUGAGUAACACGUGGGUAACCUGCCCAUAAGACUGGGAUAACUCCGGGAAACCGGGGCUAAUACCGGAUAACAUUUUGAACCGCAUGGUUCGGAAUUGAAAGGCGGCUUCGGCUGUCACUUAUGGAUGGACCCGCGUCGCAUUAGCUAGUUGGUGAGGUACCGGCUCACCAAGGCAACGAUGCAUAGCCGACCUGAGAGGGUGAUCGGCCACACUGGGACUGAGACACGGCCCAGACUCCUACGGGAGGCAGCAGUAGGGAAUCUUCCGCAAUGGACGAAAGUCUGACGGAGCAACGCCGCGUGAGUGAUGAAGGCUUUCGGGUCGUAAAACUCUGUUGUUAGGGAAGAACAAGUGCUAGUUGAAUAAGCUGGCACCUUGACGGUACCUAACCAGAAAGCCACGGCUAACUACGUGCCAGCAGCCGCCGCAG
rnacentral:rRNA from 1 species